CCGGCACGGGUGGAGGUAACACGUAUCCAACCUGCCGUCUACUCUUGGACAGCCUUCUGAAAGGAAGGAUUAAUACAAGAUGGCAUCAUGAGUCCGCAUGUUCACAUGAUAAAGGUAUUCCGGUAGACGAUGGGGAUGCGUUCCAUUAGAUAGUAGGCGGGGUAACGGCCCACCUAGUCUUCGAUGGAUAGGGGUUCUGAGAGGAAGGUCCCCCACAUUGGAACUGAGACACGGUCCAA
rnacentral:rRNA from 1 species